GGUUAUGGGGCUAUGGUAUGGUUUAAGGUUUUUGGCAUUAGGUUUAAAAUCACUGUCCAAAACCUUUGUAGGAACUCUUUUCCAACCUUUUGGAGUUAGACCAAAAAAAGAAUGAAAAAUGAAAAAAAAAAUAUUUGGGGUUUUCGGGCUUCCUUAAUGUAAUACCCGGGUAUUAGAUUUUAAGGCCAGGGUAAGGUUUAAGUUUUUUGGCAUUAGGGUUAAAAUCACUGUCUAAAACCUUUGUAGGAACUCUUUUCCAACCUUUUGGAUUUGGUUGGACCAAAAAAAAAAGAAAAAUUAAAGAAAAAUAUUUGGGGUGUUCAGGCUUCCUAAAAGUAAUACCCGGGUAUUAGGUUUUGGGGCUAGGGUAAGGUUUAAGGUUUUUGGCAUUAGGGUUAAAAUCACUGUCCAAAACCUUUUGGAGUUAGUUAGACCAAAAAAAAAGAAAAAUGAAAAAAAAAUAUUUGGGGUGUUCAGGCUUCCUAAAAAUAAUACCCGAGUAUUAGGUUAUGGGGCUAUGGUAAGGUUUAACGUUUUGGCGUUAAGUUUAAAAUCACUGUCCAAAACCUUUGUAGGAACUCUUUUCUAACCUUUUGGAUUUAGUCUGACCAAAAAAAGAAUGAAAAAUGAAAAAAAAUAUAUUUGGGGUGUUCGGGCUUCCUGAAGGUAAUACCCGGGUAUUA